GCGGAGGAAAAGAAACCAACAGGGAUUGCCCUAGUAACGGCGAGUGAAGCGGCAACAGCUCAAAUUUGAAAUCUGGCCUCGUGCCCGAGUUGUAAUUUGUAGAGGAUGCUUUUGGCGACGCGCCUUCCGAGUUCCCUGGAACGGGACGCCAUAGAGGGUGAGAGCCCCGUCCGGUCGUGCGCCUAGCCUCUGUAAAGCUCCUUCGACGAGUCGAGUAGUUUGGGAAUGCUGCUCUAAAUGGGAGGUAUACGUCUUCUAAAGCUAAAUACCGGCCAGAGACCGAUAGCGCACAAGUAGAGUGAUCGAAAGAUGAAAAGCACUUUGAAAAGAGGGUUAAAUAGUACGUGAAAUUGCUGAAAGGGAAGCGCUUAUGACCAGACUUGGGCGUGGCGGAUCAUCCGGCGUUCUCGCCGGUGCACUCCACCACCCCAGGCCAGCAUCAGUUCGCGCCGGGGGACAAAGGCUUCGGGAAUGUGGCUCCCUCGGGAGUGUUAUAGCCCGUUGCGUAAUACCCUGGUGCGGACUGAGGUCCGCGCUCUGCAAGGAUGCUGGCGUAAUGGUCAUCAGUGACCCGUCUUGAAACACGGACCAAGGAGUCGUCUUCGUAUGCGAGUGUUCGGGUGUCAAACCCCUACGCGGAAUGAAAGUGAACGUAGGAGAGAGCUUCGGCGCAUCUCCGACCGAUCCUGAUGUUCUCGGAUGGAUUUGAGUAAGAGCAUACGGGGCCGGACCCGAAAGAAGGUGAACUAUGCCUGUGUAGGGUGAAGCCAGAGGAAACUCUGGUGGAGGCUCGCAGCGGUUCUGACGUGCAAAUCGAUCGUCAAACAUGGGCAUGGGGGCGAAAGACUAAUCGAACCUUCUAGUAGCUGGUUUCCGCG
rnacentral:rRNA from 1 species